rnacentral:rRNA from 1 species
AGUCAAUAGAUACCCCGGUAGUCCACGCCGUAAACGAUGUCGACUUGGAGGUUGUGCCCUUGAGGCGUGGCUUCCGGAGCUAAACGCGUUAAGUCGACCGCCUGGGGAGUACGGCCGCAAGGUUAAAACUCAAAUGAAUUGACGGGGGCCCGCACAAGCGGUGGAGCAUGUGGUUUAAUUCGAUGCAACGCGAAGAACCUUACCUACUCUUGACAUCCNAGAGAACUUAGCAGAGAUGCUUUGGUGCCUUCGGGAACUCUGAGACAGGUGCUGCAUGGCUGUCGUCAGCUCGUGUUGUGAAAUGUUGGGUUAAGUCCCGCAACGAGCGCAACCCUUAUCCUUUGUUGCCAGCGGUUAGGCCGGGAACUCAAAGGAGACUGCCAGUGAUAAACUGGAGGAAGGUGGGGAUGACGUCAAGUCAUCAUGGCCCUUACGAGUAGGGCUACACACGUGCUACAAUGGCGCAUACAAAGAGAAGCGACCUCGCGAGAGCAAGCGGACCUCAUAAAGUGCGUCGUAGUCCGGAUU